AACCUUAUGGACCUGCGGGCGUAUACCUGCGGAGGGAUCAUUACAUAUUGGUCAAAAGAAUAGUUUGAAAAAGGCUAUUUUUUUUUGACUUAAAAAACUUAUCCACAGUGUGGGAAAUGUCUUCUAACGCUUGUGCCUGGUUCAGUCUAGUGCUGCCACUUGAGUUUAUCCUUAGAUCAAGGGAUCUUUGGGUAGUUGUUCAUUAUUUUCUCUCUCUUUUUAGGGGGGGGGAGAUUAAUG
rnacentral:misc_RNA from 1 species